rnacentral:rRNA from 1 species
AAUGCAGUCGAACGUGAAAGCACCUUCGGGUGUGAGUAGAGUGGCGCACGGGUGAGUAACACUUGGGUAACCUACACUUCAGAGGGGGAUAACCCCGGGAAACCGGAGCUAAUACCGCGUACGCCUAUUCUUUCUGCGGAUUGAAUAGGGAAAGCUAUUGCGCUGAAGGAUGGGCCCGAGCCCAAUUAGCUUGUUGGUGGGGUAAAAGCCUACCAAGGCUACGAUUGGUCGCUGGUCUGAGAGGAUGAUCAGCCACACUGGUACUGGAACACGGACCAGACUCCUACGGGAGGCAGCAGUUAGGAAUUUUGCGCAAUGGGGGAAACCCUGACGCAGCAACGCCGCGUGAGUGAAGAAGGCCUUCGGGUUGUAAAGCUCUUUCGAUAGGGAAGAAACAAAUGACGGUACCUAUAGAAGAAGCACCGGCUAACUCCGUGCCAGCAGCCGCGGUAAGACGGAGGGUGCAAGCGUUGCUCGGACUCACUGGGCGUAAAGAGCACGUAGGCGGCUUGGUAAGUUUGAUGUGAAAGCCCUGGACUCAAUCCAGGAAGUGCAUUGGAUACUGCUAGGCUAGAGUGCAGGAGGGGUAAGCGGAAUUCCAGGUGUAGAGGUGAAAUUCGUAGAUAUCUGGAGGAACAACGGCGGCGAAGGCGGCUUACUGGACUGAUACUGACGCUGAGGUGCGAAAGUGUGGGGAGCGAACGGGAUUAGAUACCCCGGUAGUCCACACCGUAAACGAUGAGUACUAGUUGUCGGGACCAUCCUACUGUCUCGGUGACGCAGCUAACGCAUUAAGUACUCCGCCUGGGGAUUACGGCCGCAAGGCUAAAAUUCAAAGAAAUUGACGGGGGCCCGCACAAGCGGUGGAGGAUGUGGUU